GUGUCAGCCGCCGCGGUAAUACGAAGGACCCGAGCGUUAUCCGGAUUUAUUGGGUUUAAAGGGUGCGUAGGCGGACCUAUAAGUCAGUGGUGAAAGCCCAUCGCUCAACGAUGGAAUUGCCAUUGAUACUGUAGGUCUUGAGUAUAGUUGAGGUGGGCGGAAUGUGUCAUGUAGCGGUGAAAUGCUUAGAUAUGACACAGAACACCUAUUGCGAAGGCAGCUCGCUAAGCUAUAACUGACGCUGAGGCACGAAAGUGUGGGUAGCAAACAGGAUUAGAAACCCUCGUAGUCC
rnacentral:rRNA from 1 species